rnacentral:lncRNA from 1 species
UAUAAACCACAGUUGUACAGAAGCUGCCCAAGAGGUAUAAUUUCCACUUCCAUCCAACUUAACAGUAGUAAUUGUUGGAGAUGGUGAAGAGGAAAAAAUCGACUUUCCAGUAGUUUGAUUUUCAAUUGCAUUAUCAUCUCCCAUUGUUGUAUUUAUUACACAGGAACUGCUGAAAGUGAAUGAGAGUAACUACAAAAACAAGAGAAAUAGGACUACUUUAUCAUCUCCCAUUGUUGUAUUUAUAACACAGGAACUGCUGAAAGUGAAUGAGGGUAACUACAAAAACAAGAGAAAUAGGAAGAAAUAGAGAAAACUGAAGAGUCAACCAAGGAGGAUCUGGUUCUUCUAGUCUUUUAAUUCAAGGAAGAAAAAAUGAGAUGAAGCAGGGACUAAAAACCCAAGCUCUGAUACCAUGUGAAAGAAGAA